CUGAAGAGGAAAUGGUCAGCCGCUUCGGGAUGGUCUCGCGGCCUAUCAGCUUGUUGGUGAGGUAUCGGCUCACCAAGGCUAAGACGGGUAGCUGGUCUGAGAGGACGAUCAGCCACACUGGGACUGAGACACGGCCCAGACUCCUACGGGAGGCAGCAGCAGGGAAUAUUGCACAAUGGGCGAAAGCCUGAUGCAGCGACACCGCGUGCGGGAUGAAGGCCUUCGGGUUGUAAACCGCUUUCAGGAGGGAAGAAAAUGACGGUACCUCCAGAAGAAGGCCCGGCCAACUACGUGCCAGCAGCCGCGGUAACACGUAGGGGCCAAACGUUGUCCGGAUUUAUUUGGCGUAAAGAGCUCGUAGGCGGUUCAGUUAGUCGGCUGUGAAAUUCCGAGGCUCAACCUCGGAACUGCAGUCGAUACUGCUGUGACUAGAGUCCGGUAGAGGAGAAUGGAAUUCCCGGUGUAGCGGUGAAAUGCGCAGAUAUCGGGAGGAACACCAGUAGCGAAGGCGGUUCUCUGGGCCGGUACUGACGCUGAGGAGCGAAAGCGUGGGUAGCAAACAGGAUUAGAUACCCUGGUAGUCCACGCCGUAAACGUUGGACACUAGGUGUGGCGUUCCGAUCA
rnacentral:rRNA from 1 species